ACGAUAUAAAUACCGAUCAAAUCUCCGGAGACGACACCAGUAAUCGUCAACAUAUCGAGACACAUACACCUCGUAUAUACACGCCUAUUUAUUUCGUCAAGUUCUCCGCAACUUACACUCAAAAAUCAUCAUGUACAAGUUAAUGGUGAGUACGAUAUGAUAAAUGUAAUUCCUAAUUUUUUUUUUCUUUUAAAGAUACAAAUUAUUUCUUAUUUUGUUAAACAUUUCGACCGCGAAUCGCCACCAAAAUAUUCACAGUUUAUGUAGACACAGUGUUAUUAAUAUAACUUAAAAUUAACUUCAUUUCUAAUUUUAAAACAGCAUAUCUCUUUGCUAUCAAUGUCUAUAUUAUUAUUUUCAUUAAUAAAUCGAUGACGGAGAUGCAAUAACUAUUGUUCGGUUCAAUAAUGUAUUUAGUUUUUCAUUUUUGUCCCCAUAAAAUCCACGGUAGCAAGUUUAUAAAUUUCACGGUAGCAAGUUUAUAAAUUUAUUUCGAAACAAAAUUUUGGAGCAGAAAAUGUUUGUACUCAUUUCGAAUCGUAAAUUUCGUGUAUUUUACAAAAAUAAUGUAUGUACAUACAAUUAUUUUCUGUAGAAAAAUACUUGGCGAAUCGACUGAUUGUAUUUUAGGCAACUUAAUCAAUGUAAACUAUCGUAAAUUAAAACGUAAAAAAAUUUUUUUUUCUGAAUGUGUCUUAACAAUUAAUUAAUGAAUGAAUUGUGUUUCUAUUUUUCCGUUUUAAAAGUAUGAAAUUGUAUCUAAAGUAUAACGAUCGUGCAUACAUUAUACUUUAUACUAAUCUUGGCGGGUCUUUAAAGAUUACAUUUUUUGUUAACAUUUUUUAUUUCUAGGCCUAUUAUAUAAAAAAAAUAAAUUUUGAAUAUAAAAAAUAUUAUUAUUAUUUUCGAGUUUUCUACUAUUUAAAAUAAAACUAGCUAAAUUUCCAAAAUUAAUAUAUGUGUGAACCCGACAUAUAAUGACAUAUAAAAUUAAAUACAAUGUACUAAUACUUUACCUAUUUUAUAAAAAUUAUAUAAUUCUAAUUUUAAAAUAAUUAAAUACAUUUUUCUGUUUUCAGUUAUUGAUCGUCGCCGCUUUGGCUUUAAUCGCUGUCGCUUCUGCUCAAUUCAUUUACCGGCCUUACGCACCAGUCUACACCUACCCGUCUUACCCCCUCACUUACCCAAUAACUUACAACCCAUACGUCACUUUACUUCGCCGAUAGAAAAAUCGUAUUUCUAUAUGAUGUGAUAUAUAUAAACAAAGUAAGCACACAUUUUAUACGAUAUACCUACUUGUAUAUUAUUCAAAAUAUUUGACUAUUUCAAUUAUUUCAACGUUUUUAAAAAACUAUGACGUUUCGAAAAACGUAUUUAAACGGUAUUAUUUUCAUUCAAUUUGUUAAAUAUACUUCUAUAAAUUCCAUUGCUGUUUUUAAAUUUUCUUGUAAAAUAACACUUUCAAAAACCCCAUUUUACAUAUGUAAACACCUAUAUUUAUUUAUUUUUAUUAACUAUUUCAUUUUUAUUUUUUACAGAACCAGAAAAAUGAACAUACCUCUAAUUUAUAAUUAUAAGCAUUCGGAGGUAACCUCUGCUGUAAAAAUAUCAACAAAGUAAAAUGUAUUCUUCGAACAUACUUUUUUGUUAUAAAUAUUAUAAUUUUUUACUGUAAAGUUUCAUAUUGUCACAUUUUCAAACAUAAAAUCAUUGUAUUAAGUAAAUUAUCUAACUAAUAAAUAUUAUUCUUCGUAAAUGACUUACUGGACGUAUAUUAUUUAUUAUUUAUUCAUUAUGGACCAACUGUAGUACCUAUUAUAAUUAAUUCAUUACAAAAUAACAAUUCUACGAUUAUUUCUCGCUGAAUAAUUUACAAAAGAAUAAAAUAUGUGUUUUCUUUUUGGUUGUUGUAAUAGACUCUGAAUUAUAAAACCAUAAACAACAGAAGAUGAUCCCUAUAUUAGAUACAGAGUUGGUAUAAAUGUUACGCCAAAUUCGCGAAUUUGUUGAUUUCACGAAAUCGGCAGGAUAAAAUAUUUGUUAACAUUUACGUCUCUACAAACAUUUUUAACUGAAUAUUAUAAAAAAAAAAAUUUUUAAAUAAUUUUUAACCUAAUUUAGCUCCAAAUUGUUUUUCAUUAUCAAUGGUCUAUCCUUUUCCAAAAUAAGGAAAAAAGUUAAUAAUUUUAUGUAUCCCAUUUUCACCACUACUACCUACAUCAUGACCACACCUGUUCCGUGUAUCAGCUGUUGUUUUUUUAUUUCUGACAGUUACAAAUACAAGUGACUCAAAUAUGUUAAAUUACCAUUCAUUUUUAAUUUUUACCUUGAUGAUAAACAUUAAUGUGUAAAAUGAACUAUCUUUUUAUCUAAAUAUCAAUAUCUAUCAAUAGAUAGCGCUACAUAUUCCGUUUGUAAUUGUACGAAAGACCAAAAUAAUUUAACCNAAACCAGGAGUUCGAACCCCUCUCCCCCUGAAAUUUUUUAAGGUACACAAAUUUAAAUUAAUGCAUAUAUGCUAUUCAAUAUAAGUAGGGUAUAAAGGGGAGUUCUAAAUCAGGUGCCAGAUGCUAUACCUUAUAAUGUCGCCGAUUUGAACGUGGUAACAUAGUCGCUGAUAAUAACUGAUAAGAAACUGGGCUUGGCCUAAAUAGUAGAAGAAGAGGUGGACAAUUCGGGCGGCUUUGUUAAGUUAUAACACCUGGCAUCUGAUUUAGAACAAAAUUAUUAUUUUAUACUACGAAAACGAACGCUGAUGGAUGAAUUAGAAAAAAAUUGUACAUCGAUAGUAUAUAAUAUCAGUUUUAUCGAUCUAGAUAAUCGAAAACAAUUAAACCCACAGAUACCCUCUCGCAUAGGAUUCGGUAAAUGUUUACAUUUAGUGUAUUUUCAUUACGAUUUAUGAUGAUUGAUAACAUAUUUGUUAAAAAAAUAAAAUAUAAAAUAAUAGGCUUCAAUAUUCUAAAUAAACGGAUAUAUGCACACACAACAUUGCUGAUGUUGGUAUUUUUAUUUUUCUAAUAAACUCUGAAUCAUAAAUAAGAGAAGAUGAUCCGUAUAUUAGAUACGAAUCUGAUAUAUAUGUUACGCUGAAUUUGCGAAUUUUCUGAUUCCACGAAAUCGCAGAAAAAUUGCCCAUUUCAUGAAAUAAGCAACACAGUUGCCGAAAACGUGAAAUCGGUAAAGUAAAAUAAUAUAAUUAUAUAUUACCAAUAAAACAAAAAAAAUUAUUUUGAGAUUUGACAUAUCAUAAUGUAUACCGAAAUUCAAACAGAAUUGAUACAUUGAAUUAAGAAAAUUGAAGUUAAUCAAAUGUUAAUUAUUAAUAUAUUAAUUUUAAAAGUUGAAAAUUAUUUGAUUGAUUUGAUAUGAUAAUCGAUGUUAUUUAUAAAAAAAGGGUACUUAUAACAAAUAUUUGAAUGCACCGUCUAUCGCGUAUAAUGAACGAACCGACUAAACGUUUUACAAUAUGUAAUAUAGAUCGUAGGUAUUAAUUUUGUUUUAUUAAACGAUAGAAAACCGGUAAUAUAAAUAAGAUAAAAUAUUUUAUACUUAAGUUCUCAGAUGAUAUACAAUGAUCUAAGCUUAAGUUACAAGGGGAACUGCCUUAUUAUUAUACACGGUGAAGUAAAGACAAUAACAUGCCGAAAAUACAAUUUCUAUGAUUGUCGAAAUAAUUUUAAAUUCUGGUUAUUCAAUGCCCAUAUUUAUAAUGUAACAACGAUAUAGGCUUCUUCGCUCCAUUCAGAAUAUAAAAUAUAUUGCUGAUUUCGUGAAAUCAGUAGACUAGUUGUCGAUUUCACGUAUCCGGCAACGGCGUUGUUUAUUUCAUGAAAUAUGCAAUUUUUCUGCUGAUGUCUUGGAAUGAAGACAAAUUCACAAAUUUGGCGUAACAUUUAGUCAGCAAUCUCAGAGAGUGAAUACAAGCGAGAGUUGAUUGGAACCGUUUUGUGUUUUACCGAAGUAUUUCGGGCGAACAACAGAUUCCUAGUAUCUAUUACUCAUAUUUUAUACCCUCAAUCGUAAGUAUACGCCUGGGCAGUAUCGGAUGAGUUUUCAAGUAUAUUUUGUUUGUCUGUUAGAUUUGAAACAUGGAAACAUNCUCUCCCCCUGAAAUUUUUUAAGGUACACAAAUUUAAAUUAAUGCAUAUAUGCUAUUCAAUAUAAGUAGGGUAUAAAGGGGAGUUCUAAAUCAGGUGCCAGUCGCUAAACCUUAUAAUGUCGCCGAUAUGAACGUGGUAACAUAGUCGCUGAUAAUAUUUGAUAAGAAACUGGGCUUGGCCUAAAUAGUUGAAGAAGAGGUGGACAAUUCGGGCGGCCUUGUUAAGUUAUAGCACCUGGCAUCUGAUUUAGAACAAAAUUAUUAUUUUAUACUACGAAAACGAACGCUGAUGGAUGAAUUAGAAAAAAAUUGUACAUCGAUAGUAUAUAAUAUCAGUUUUAUCGAUCUAGAUAAUCGAAAACAAUUAAACCCACAGAUACCCUCUCGCAUAGGAUUCGGUAAAUGUUUACAUUUAAUGCAUUUUCAUUACGAUUUAUGAUGAUUGAUAACUUAUUUGUUAAAAAAAUAAAAUAUAAAAUAAUAGGCUUCAAUAUUCUAAAUAAACGGAUAUAUGCACACACAACAUUGCUGAUGUUGGUAUUUUUAUUUUUCUAAUAAACUCUGAAUCAUAAAUAAGAGAAGAUGAUCCGUAUAUUAGAUACGAAUCUGAUAUAUAUGUUACGCUGAAUUUGCGAAUUUUCUGAUUCCACGAAAUCGGCAGAAAAAUUGCCCAUUUCAUGAAAUAAGCAACACAGUUGCCGAAAACGUGAAAUCGGUAAAGUAAAAUAAUAUAAUUAUAUAUUACCAAUAAAACAAAAAAAAUUAUUUUGAGAUUUGACAUAUCAUAAUGUGUACUGAAAUUCAAACAGAAUUGAUACAUUGAAUUAAGAAAAUUGAUGUUAAUCAAAUGUUAAUUAUUAUUAUAUUAAUUUUAAAAGUUGAAAAUUAUAUGAUUGAUUUGAUAUGAUAAUCGAUGUUAUUUAUAAUAAAAGGUGUACUGAUAACAAAUAUUUGAAUGCACCGUCUAUCGCGUAAAAUGAACGAACCGACUAAACGUUUAACAAUAUGUAAUAUAGAUCGUAGGUAUUAAUUUUGUUUUAUUUAAGCGAUAGAAAACCGGUAAUAUCAAUAAGAUAAAAUAUUUUAUACUUAAGUUCUCAGAUGAUAUACAAUGAUCUAAGCUUAAGUUAUAAGGGGAACUGCCUUAUUAUUAUAGACGGUUAAGUAAAGACAAUAUCAUGCCGAAAAUACAAUUUUUAUGAUUGUCGAAAUAAUUUUAAAUUCUGGUUAUUCAAUGUUCAUAUUAAUAAUGUAACAACAAAAUAGGCUUCUUCGCUCCAUUCAGAAUAUAGAAUGUAUUGCUGAAUUCGUGCUUUCGUCAGAAAAAAAGUUGCCUAAUUCAUGCAAUCGGCAAAAUAAAAAUUUGCUGAUAUUGUGAAAUCUGUAGACAAGUUGCCGAUUUCACGAAUUCGGCAACGGCGUUGUUUAUUUCAUGAAAAAAGCAAUUUUUCUGCCGAUGUCUUGAAAUGAAGACAAAUUCACAAAUUUGGCGUAACAUUUAUUCAGCAAUCUCAGAGAGUGAAUACAAGUGAGAGUUGAUUGGAACCGUUUUGUGUUUAACCGAAGUAUUUCGGGCGAACAACAGAUUGCUAGUAUCUAUUACUCAUAUUUUAUACCCUCAAUCGUAAGUAUACGUCUGGGCAGUAUCGGAUGAGUUCUCAAGUAUAUUUUGUUUGUCUGUUAGAUUUGAAAUAUGGAAACAUUUCAAACAAUUUUCAAGAGAACAUUGCAAUUUGCAUGUGUAUACUCAUUACAUGCGUUUAUAAUAUGUUUUUACACGUAUCGGUUCUAUGUACUUUAUUUUCUACGUCAAUAUUGUGAUUUACUAUCAUAUUUUUUUGUUGCGAAUAAAAAAAAAUAACAUUCAAAAAAUUCUAUUAACUAUUCUUUUUUUGUUAUUUGUAAAUAACAAUAAUAAUGAAAAAUAAAGAAAGCUGAUACUGUGGAUGAAUGUGGCAACUACUUACUGCCACUGGCCACUGCUGUAGAUGGGUAAAUAGGUAGUGAUGAAGGUGGGAUACAUAAAGUUAUUUAUUUUAUACUUGUGGCCAACGUGGAGUUAACGAUAAACGAUUCGGAUCGAAGUUCAAUAAAACAUAUUUUAAAAAACCGUAAUAUUUACGAUUGUCGUCAGAAUUUGAUUAUAAAACUCUUAUAAAAAAGAAAAGAUACUACAUAUAUUAAACUAAAUUCGUUUUUUUUAUCAUUAAAUUCAACUUAUCAUGAACUUCACAUUAAAUUGUCAUGAAUUUCGUUUAAGUCCAACAAAUUAUCUUCAGAGUACCUAUCAAACAAAAAUUACUUAAAAAACUAGCAAAAUUAAAAUAAUCUGUAGUUCAAUUAGUAUUCUGAAAGAUUUACCACGCCUAGAAAAAGUAAAAAUACAUUUUUCGUCAACAUUUUAAGUCUCUACGAAUAUUUUAAACUGCAUUAUAUUACAAAACAAAGUUUAAAAUACUUUUAACCGAACUUUGCUCCAAAUCGUUUCUUGUUACCAAUAGUUUAUCGUUGGUCAGGCCAUGUAUAAAUUAAAUAACUUUAUAUAUUCCACCUUUCUUACUACCCACCUACAACAUCAACGUCGGAAUACGUUAGAAUACUUCUAAAUAAUUGCAAAUCGAGUUUUCCUAAUUGCUAAUUGAUUCAAUUGUAUUUUUUUGGGAUUUUUCAAAAUUGUCCGCUAGUCUCUCUACUUUGGCCGACUUGCAAUUAGUUCAACCAUAUUCGCUAUUAUAUGCAUUUAAAUUUACAUCGUCUGAUAUAGUUUUAAACCAUAUCGAUUUAGGUAAAGAAGACAACUUCGCAUACAUACACAAUUUUUAAUGGCAAUUGGUAAUUAUACUAUCUAUCUAUUCUUUAUAUUAUAAAAUGUUUUGUAUGACAGUUUUCCCGAUUCAUUUUUUCCAGUCAAAUUUUCAUAAUUAUACUUUUUCCAAAUUCUUAUAAAUUCAACCUAGUUUUCUUUGAUUUAAUAGUUACCGAAAAACAAUUUCCCUAAACUAUCGAAUGUAUUAUUUUCAUAAAAUAUUGCAUUGAGUAAAUACAUUUUUGGGAAAAAGGAUAUUUAGGAGAAGAGCUGGGAAUUGGUAAAAUAAAUUGAGAAAACCAUCUCCCGACAGUAAAAUGCAUUAUAAAUAUGUUACAUUUUUACAGUAAAUAAUGAUAUAAACCAAAAUAACGUAUUUUUUUAGAAAAUGACGGUAGUUACCUAACAAACCAGUUUAUAUCGUUAUUUAUUAUUUGUUUAAUAUGACUAUCGAAAAUUUCUACACACAGUGGAAAAUGUUAACGGCUAUAGAUAGUAUUACAGCUGCAGUAUUAAUAGGCUUAGUGGGGCCUAUUACCGUAGGGCAUUUUGAUGUAUUUAAUAUUUUAAUUAGUUACCGAAAACGGUUGUAUUACACACGAGUACAAGAAAUUUCAAAGAAAUUUUGUUGGAUCUCAAAACUCAUCACGAAUUAUCGGUAGAAAAAGAAAUAACAUUUCGAGAAGCUGUAGACUGUAAUAAUCUUAUAGGCACACAAGGCUAUCAAGUAUGUCAGUGUAGGACAAAGUGUAAAAUGGAUAAAUGUACCUAUCGUGUAGUUGGAAAAUAAUGUAAUUUUAAAUGACACAUUUCUUUAUUAUGUGAAAAAAAAUAAUUAUCAUAUAUAAAUUUAAAUAAUAUAUUUUUUUUAUUAUAAACUAAAAAAUAUACUAUAAUUAACAUAAAAUUCUAUUUGAAUUGCAAUUAACAUCAUUGAUUAAUAUUGUUUGGAAUCAAAGUGAAUUCUUAGUAAAUAAUGUUAAAAACCUUGCGAAUUAUUCAUUAUUAUCCACUAAAGUUAAUUACUAGAUAAGAACGUUCAUACUAAUUUAACAACAUUAUGUGAUGUUUGGUAGGUUUUUGUCAUAUAAUUUUACUUUUUAACUCACAUUUUUAAAUUUCUUAAAUAAUUUUGCGUAAUUUGUCGUCGCACAUAAAAUAAUGUAAUUGAAUAAAGGGUUAGUGGUUUACUGACAAGGGGGGAGGCAGCGUUGGAUAGAAAAUGUAACGGUAUACCGAGGUUUAGGAUUCUCGCCGGCCCAAAAUGAUACAAAAUACACAAAAUUGACAUAAGUACAUUAAAUUAAAAACAAGAGUAAUUUUGCGCAGCCCAUACGAGGUUUUCUCAGUAGCUCGAUAUUUCAAUCCGAGCCAGGGCGUGGUCUUAAAUGACUAAAUACGUUCAUACAUGUCACGUCACAUAAACACACUAAAACCUAGAAACGAAUGUGCGUAUACCGUAGACGAUGGUGACGGUCGUUUGAUCUCCAUAAAAAAAAAAUCACGUGUAAAACGAAAGAUAUUUGCGUAUACUUGACAUUUAAAAUGAGUGAUUAUAUUUGCAUAGCGAACAAAUGAUUUCCCAAUAAAUUGAUCGUACUAUAUGCCGUCGGUCAGGGUUCUCCAGUUUCCUCAGACAUUAUAAAAUGUCAGUAUAAAUAUUAGCCUCCUCGUUUAUACUUGUGCGCCUAGGCGUUUCUUAACGAAGAUGUCGACCGGUUUAUCGAAAACAAUAUUUAUAACGCAUGAUUCGGGUUCAUCUUCUGAGCUUAACGGUGACUUUGAAGUUUUUUUUUUGUAAAACGGGUUUUCGGUAGUAAACAAAUUAUAUAUAUAAAAAAAAAAAAACAUGAAAAAUAAUAAAAUGUUUACUAAACGCAAAAUAAAAAGAAUAAUUAAUUAAGGGUGUCCUUAUAGAGAACGGGAUGAAAGAAAAAAAAUCGCCAAAAUCCUAUAAUCGUACGGCGUUAAGGUGGGACGAUGGCAAACGAAUAAUGUAUUCUGUCGCUUAACGAAACAAUAUAAAUACCGAUCGAAUCUCCGGAGACGACACCAGUUAUCGUCAACGUAUCGAGACACAUACACCUCGUAUAUACACGCCUAUUUAUUUCGUCAAGUUCUUCGCAACUUACACUCAAAAAUCAUCAUGUACAAGUUAAUGGUGAGUACCAUAUGAUAAACGUAAUUCAUAAUUUUUAUUUUCUUUUAAAGAUACAAAUUUCUUAUUUUGUUAAACAUUUCGACCGCGAAUCGCCACUAAAAUAUUCACAGUUUAUGUAGACACAGUGUUAUUAAUAUAAUUUAAAAUUAACUUCAUUUCUAAUUUUAAAACAGCCUAUCUCUUUGCUAUCAAUGUCUAUAUUAUUAUUUUCAUUAAUAAAUCGAUGACGGAGAUGCAAUAACUUUUGUUCGGUUCAAUAAUGUAUUUAGUUUUUCAUUUUUUUUUCCCAUAAAAUCCACGGUAGCAAGUUUAUAAAUUUAUUUCGAAACAAAAUUAUUGAGCAGAAAAUGUUUGUAAUUAAUUCGAAUCGUUAAUAUUGUGUAGUUUACAAAGAUCAUGUAUGUAUAUGCAUUUAUUUUCUGUAGACUAAUAUUUGGCAAAUCGACUGAUUGUAUUUAAGGCAACUUAAUCAAUGUAAAUUAUCAUAAAUUAAAACAUAACAAUUUUUUUUUCUGAAUAUGACAUAAAAAUUAAAUAAUUAAUAAAUUGUGUUUCUAUUUUUCCGUUUAAAAGUGCGAAAUUGUUUCUAAUUUAUAACGAUCGUGCAUAUAUUAUAUUUUAUACUAAUCAUGGCGGGUCUUUAAAUCUCAAUUAUUUUUUUAAAAUUUAUUAUUUCUAGGCUACUUUUAUAAAAUACAUUAUUUGUGAAUAUAAAAAAAUUAUUAUAAUUUUCGAGUUUUCUACUAUUUAAAAUAAAACUAUCUAAAUUUCCAAAAUUAAUAUAUGUGUGAACCUGACAUAUAAUGACAUAUAACAUUAAAUACAAUGUACUAAUACUUUACCUAUUUUAUAAAAAUUAUGUAAUUUUAAUUUUAAAAUAACUAAAUACAUUUUUCUGUUUUCAGUUAUUGAUCGUCGCCGCUUUGGCUUUAAUCGCUGUCACUUCUGCUCAAUUCAUUUACCAGCCUUACGCACCGGUCUACACCUACCCGUCUUACCCCCUCACUUACCCAAUAACUUACAACCCAUACGUCACUUUACUUCGCCGAUAGAAAAAUCGUAUUUCUAUAUGAUGUGAUAUAUAUAAACAAAGUAAGCACACAUUUUAUACGAUAUACCUACUUGUAUAUUAUUCAAAAUAUUUGACUAUUUUAAUUAUUUCAACGUUUUUAAAUUACUAUGACGUUUCGAAAAACGUAUUAAAACGAUAUUAUUUUCUUUCAAUUUGUUAAAUAUACUUCUAUAAAUUCCAUUGCUGUUUUUAAAUUUUCUUGUAAAAUAACACUUUCAAAAACCCCAUUUUACAUAUGUAAACACCUAUAUUUAUUUAUUUUUAUUAACUAUUUCAUUUUUUAUUUUUUACAGAACCAGAAAAAUGAACAUACCUCUAAUUUAUAAUUAUAAGUCUUCGGUGUUAACCUCUGCUGUAAAAAUAUCAACAAAGUAAAAUGUAUUCUUCGAACAUACUUUAUUGUUAUAAAUAUUAUAAUUUAUCACUGUAAAGUUUCAUAUUGUCACAUUUUCAAUCAUAACAUUAUUGUAUUAAGUAAAUUAUCUAACUAAUAAAUAUUAUUCCUCGUAAAUGACUUACUGGACGUAUAUUAUUU
rnacentral:lncRNA from 1 species